rnacentral:lncRNA from 1 species
GGGUCUUCUUUUCAUUUUUUUAAGAAUAAAUGUCCCGAUUUGACCUUGCCGGAAUUCUUGCCGCACUUUUGAUGUUCUCUUCCUCCAGCAUUUCUUUGAUCUCUCCGGUUCUUCUUUGAUGCCCAAUUUGGUGCCUCACUUGUCAUAGUCCAAAAUCUUAGUGCAGCAUAAUAUCAAAAUCCUGGAUGAAAAAAAGUAAAAUAUUAAACAUCUUUCUUUUUAUUUUGAACAACGUAAUAUUAAACAUCUAGAGACAUAUUACUUGUUUAUUUGGGUAUAGACCAAAGAUGAAUUAUACUUCUAAGUUCUAAAUUAAAGAAAUUAGAGGAGAAGAAUGUAUGUACCUCUAAUGUGUUGAGAGUUUAUUGGAGAAGAAAGACGAUUUUGAUAUUAGCAAAAUGAGUAGGGAAAAUGGAGAC